AGCUGGAAGAAUGGAGGAGUGAGACAGCUGAAGUGCUGCAGCUCUGUGGAUCUGACUGUACUAGGUUAAUUUUUGUCCCCUUUAGAAUAUUUCCUUACGCAUAUACAGACUAUCACCUGCCACACAUCUCCACAGUCCCUCUGGCUGUUAGCGGAAUCAAUUCAUUUUAAUGAAUUUCAUAACUUAUUGCUACAUACAGGUUUCAGUCCAAUUACUUCAAGAAGUCCUGAACCUUUUCUCAUCCUUUAAGAAAGAAUUGCAGACUGCUCCUCCAGCCGCGUGUUUGCUGCACUCUGAGCAGCACCGGGCUCGUGUCGGUCCGGGCCUCAGCAGCGCCUCGUGCGGCCCGUGGCCAUUUUAACUGCGAGCCGACGGGCACGAGGAGCUGCGGGCUGAAACCGCAAGUCCCUUCAGGAGCAAUAAGUGUGCCUAGAUGUAAGGAAAGGGCUGCGGGACAACACCUGAUGUGUGGCCUGCUGCUGUUCCUUGGGAUUUCUGGAGCAAGGACGACGGAUUGAUGUUGCUCGGGGGCGUUUUGCAGCCUGCGAGGAAGAGCUGAGGUGCCUGAUGUUGCAUAGGGAUUCCUGGAGCAUUCCUAUGCGUAUGGUACUGAGUGCACAUUGUUCCUGCUCCUUUUGGCUAACCAGUAUUAAAAGUCCAGUUGCCAAAACAGUCUGAUGUAUGAAUGAAGCCUGCUUCUGCCAUGUGAACUGUCUGGAAGCAUCACCUAUCAUGGAGCAGGAGGCGUCCUGCUGGGUCUACAGUGAGCUCCAGCUGUUCAUCUUUCUCAGGUGGCUGCAAUGUUGCUCCAAAAUGAUGAGCAUUGUGAAGAGACUCAGCAAGAAGAGCUGCUGCCUGGAUGAAGAUGGUAUGGGGCUGUGGGCUUGCAACUGACUGCCACAGUGUUCAUCCUAGGGGCUUGUGUAUCUCUGUAGCUUCUGAGUUGGGCGGGGUGCUCUAAUGGGACCCUUUUCUGCCAUGACAGUAAGUAACUGGUUCUUAGUAACUCUUACAGCUCUGUGAUUUAGUCACAUGUUAAUUUUAUCAGACAAUUUUAUGAGUUAGUUGCUGAUGAACAGAUCUGCAUGUAGAGCUCUGCUCGCGUGGCCACCCUUCUGCCAGUCUGAAUUCCUUAGUGUAUACUUGCUUGGUUAUUGAAGUUUAUGCUCUCUAACUGACUUCAGGUACCUCUCAGAACUUUCACAGCAUUGGGGUCUAUUUCCUUUUUGUGAAGAAGUCUGUGGAUUCAGGAUUUUUCCAUUUGUGAGCAACAUGAAGAUGUCACUAUUGAAAGCAUGUUUUGUUGCAAGCUGUUCAGGACAAUGAAGAUGUCUAUACAAGGGCAAAGCAGGCAUCUGGAGAUGUCUCUCCUGUUGAUUCAGGCCAGCUGUGAAGACUUGCUAUUCCCUAACACACAUCCGAGUCAGAAGUGUUAGUCUCUAUUAUUCCAAGCACCUUAUACCAAUACUUUCUACCAAGAGUAGCACAGAAGAGUGAUUCGUAGAGGGAAUCGGGCAGUGGCAAUGAAAAGGUGCCUUUUCCCUUGUGUGAACAUCUGGGCUUUCUGGACAGAGAAGAUAGUCAGUAGCCUAAUGAGAAUAAUUGUCAACUGAUGCUAAACUUGGAAGUGCCUUUAAUGGAUUUGGCCAAUAAGCUGCAAUUAUUUACGAAUGUGUGUUGUGUUCAUUUCUAAG
ensembl:lncRNA